GAGAGAGAGAGAGAGAGGGGGAAGCGAGGGGGGAAAGAGAGAGCAGUUUCCAAACAAAGAAUUGGUGAAAAAAUUAAAAAGAAAAAAUAAAAGAAGACAAAGGGAAGCAGCAACAGCAUCCAUCAUCAACAACAUACAGGGCAACAACUUAGCUAAAAAGGUGUUCCCUAUUGGGCCGUUUACCAAAUGCUUCUCUUAGGUCUCCGUCUCAUGCUUCUCUCUCUCUAAUUACAUUUACAACUUGCAUUACAACACACAAAUCCCUAUCCCUAUCCCCCUCCCCCUCUAAAUUCCAUUUUAUCUUCCAUAAUGACAACAAAUUAAAGAAUAUAAUAAUAGAAAAAUUAAAGAGCUAA
rnacentral:misc_RNA from 1 species